rnacentral:tRNA from 1 species
UGGGGGAUCGUCUAAUGGUAGGACGAGAGCUUUUGGAGCUCUAUAUUGGGGUUCGAAUCCCUGUCCCCCAG